CAGCACAGGCACGUGAAGAUGGCUGGAGUUUUUAUCAUGUUCACGGCAUUGCUGCUGUGUCUCCCAGAUUUCUCAGAUGGUAUCAACAUUGUUCAGUCCCCUCCUUCUCUGUUUGUGAGUCCUGGACACUCUGCUGAACUCCAGUGCUAUCACGGUGAUAGCAGCUAUACCCGCAUGUACUGGUACCAGCAAAUGAGGAAAGGAGCUUUGGAACUGAUUGGGUAUCUGCACAAUACAGCUAUAUACCCUGAAGAGAAUUUCAAGGACAGAUUUAAUUUAACUGGACAUGCAAAAGAGACAGGCACUCUAACAAUCUCUAGAGUAACAGCUGAAGACAGUGCUGUGUACUUCUGUGCAGCCAGCAUACACAGUGCUGCAGAUCACCUCUCUCCUCUACAAUAACCCUGCCUAGCCACAGCCUCCCCUGCGCUUACAUGAGAACACGUCAUCUCACCACCUGCUUCAACUCACUGUCUAACUCUAGUGUGGGGAUUUC